rnacentral:lncRNA from 1 species
AUCGAUGAUCUGAAGGAGCUAUGAGAAAAUGGGGUACAAAUAUAUAAUUCUAUGAGUCGAAGUAAUUUUAAGUUGCAUGCUUCGAUUCUAUGGACCAUAAAUAAUUUUUUUGUAUAUAAAAACUUAUUUGGAUGGAGCAACAAAGGAUAUCUUGCAUGUCCAAUAUGCAAUAAGGAUGCAUCCUCCUUAUAUUUAAAGCACAGAUGAAAAAUAUGUUUCAUGGAUCAUCGGCA